CGCGAAAACCUUUACAAUGCAACGAAAAGUAGUGAUAAAGGCAACUCCUUGUGCUUUAUCCAAAAAGAUAGGCUUUUUAGUAUGUAAUGUAUACUAAGAAUAAGUGAUGGGCAAGACCGGUGCCAGCAGCCGCGGUAAAUACCGGCGUCACAAGUGGAGAUCACGAUUAACUGGGUCUAAAAGUGUUCGUAGCUGGUCAUAUAAGUCUCUUGUGAAAGUUCUGUAGCUUAACUCGGAAUUGCAAGAGAUACUGUAUGACUUGAGACCGGAAGAGGUGUAAAAGUAUGGAUUGGGUAG
rnacentral:rRNA from 1 species